rnacentral:rRNA from 1 species
AACGAACGCUGGCGGCAGGCUUAACACAUGCAAGUCGAACGCCCCGCAAGGGGAGUGGCAGACGGGUGAGUAACGCGUGGGAACAUACCCUUUCCUGCGGAAUAGCUCCGGGAAACUGGAAUUAAUACCGCAUACGCCCUACGGGGGAAAGAUUUAUCGGGGAAGGAUUGGCCCGCGUUGGAUUAGCUAGUUGGUGGGGUAAAGGCCUACCAAGGCGACGAUCCAUAGCUGGUCUGAGAGGAUGAUCAGCCACAUUGGGACUGAGACACGGCCCAAACUCCUACGGGAGGCAGCAGUGGGGAAUAUUGGACAAUGGGCGCAAGCCUGAUCCAGCCAUGCCGCGUGAGUGAUGAAGGCCUUAGGGUUGUAAAGCUCUUUCACCGAUGAAGAUAAUGACGGUAGUCGGAGAAGAAGCCCCGGCUAACUUCGUGCCAGCAGCCGCGGUAAUACGAAGGGGGCUAGCGUUGUUCGGAAUUACUGGGCGUAAAGCGCACGUAGGCGGAUAUUUAAGUCAGGGGUGAAAUCCCGCAGCUCAACUGCGGAACUGCCUUUGAUACUGGGUAUCUUGAGUAUGGAAGAGGUAAGUGGAAUUCCGAGUGUAGAGGUGAAAUUCGUAGAUAUUCGGAGGAACACCAGUGGCGAAGGCGGCUUACUGGUCCAUUACUGACGCUGAGGUGCGAAAGCGUGGGGGAGCAAACAGGA